rnacentral:rRNA from 1 species
GACGUAGGGGGCCAGCGUUGUUCGGAAUUACUGGGUGUAAAGGGUUCGUAGGCGGUGUGGCAAGUCGGGAGUGAAAUCUCUGGGCUCAACCCAGAGACUGCUUCCGAAACUGCUGUGCUUGAGUGUGAGAGAGGCUCGUGGAAUUGCAGGUGUAGUGGUGAAAUGCGUAGAGAUCCGGAGGAACCCCAGAGGCGAAGGCGGCGCCCUGGCCCGACACUGACGCUCAGACACGACAGCAUGGGGAGCGAACGGG